rnacentral:lncRNA from 1 species
UUUGUAAACUCUUUCAUUGUGGUGCUUGUUCCAGUCAAGGGACUUGGAACAAGGGAAAGGCGUCCCAAGCCUAAGUGAAAUUGGGGAUUUUAGGGUUUGUUGUGAGCCCGGUGUAAAACAACGAGUUGGGUAGUGAACUCGCAAAACUACCAUACUGUAAUCUUGGAUUAUAGUGGAAAUUCCCAAAGGUGAUUUGGGGAGUGGAUGUAGGAGCAGUGGAAGCUCCGAACCACUAUAAAACCUUGUGUUUGCGAUUGACCUUUCUCAUUCCCCCUUCUUUACUUUAGUGCAUAUAUUCGUGUGUUUUAUUUUUAAUUAGUCAAAAGUUUUUAAAACACCCAAUUCACCCCCCUCUUGGGUGACCAUCUCUGGGCAACAAGUGGUAUCAGAGCAGGUGCUCUGUGUAAUUCUUGAAAGACCUAACCGUCUUAGCCAAAGAUCUAGAUGGCAACACCCUUUAACAAUGUUCCUGCCGAGGGGC